AAUAUGGAUGAUGAUGAAGAUGAUGAGGAAGACGAAUGAAAGAAGCAAUGGCUCGAAGAAGAAAGUUAAAUAUUCGACAUCGAGCAAGUGAUAAUGAAGGAAUUCAGUCUACUUCAAAUAAUACAAACUCAACCAAUGUAGAAGGAAGUAAUGUUGCAGAAACUCGUUCUAGUCCUUGUCAUGCAGAAGGUGUCAUACAUGAGUUUGUAGAAUCUCACUCAAUUCCCUCUGAUAUAGAAGUUGAAGAAGAACAAAUUGAAAAAG